GACGAACGCUGGCGGCGUGCUUAACACAUGCAAGUCGAACGGACAGGCCCUGCUUUUGUUGGGUGCUCGAGUGGCGAACGGGUGAGUAACACGUGAGUAACCUGCCCCUGACUUUGGGAUAACUUCAGGAAACUGGGGCUAAUACCGGAUAUGAGCUCCUGCUGCGUGGUGGGGGUUGGAGAGUUUCGGCGGUUGGGGAUGGAUUCGCGGCUUAUGAGCUGGUUGGGGGGGUAGUGGCUUACCAAGGGUUUGACGGGUAGCCGGCCUGAGAGAGUGACCGGCCACAUUGGGACUGAGAUACGGCCCAGAAGGCUACGGGAGGCAGAAGUGGGGAAUAUUGCACAAUGGGCGGGAGCGUGAUGCAGAGGUGCUGCGUGCGGAAUGACGGCCUUCGGGUUGUAAACCGCUUUCGCCUGUGACGAAGCGUGAGUGACGGUAAUGGGUAAAGAAGCACCGGCUAACUACGUG
rnacentral:rRNA from 1 species